UUUUGGCAAGUUACUCAGUUUUCCUUGGUCUCUCCCAUUUUGGUGACUUAGAUGGGAUAAAAUUUCGCUGGCUGGACACUGCUCACUCCUGGACUGCUGCCGCUGAGCGAUCCUGGACCCCUGACGAGAGCCGGCAGGAAGUAAGAGUUCUUACUACGUCAGUCUCCCAGAUCUCUGCCUACAGGGUCCAAUGGAAAUAAGAGUGGCCUAACUUCGGGAGCUCACCUGCAUCACCGCCUUCUAAAAUGAAUUUAACUGGACUGACCUAUUAUCAGGACUAAGAAAUGUGUUCAGUGAGAUGGAACAACCUACCACUCAGCUUCUGGACUACGAAACUUCUUGAAGUUUCAGAGGACUGAGAAACUUUUUAAAGUUUGAAAGGCAGGACUGUGGGGAAUCAGAAUUAGCCACCUCAAAAUGUGUCUCUUUGCCUUGCCUUGGUUAUUUUUAACAACAAAAGACUCUGAAAGAGACUUUGACCUUCCCUCUAACUGCCUAAAAGAAAUUUAAAAUAAAGGCGUAUCCCCAGGACAGGCCUUCACCACAGAUAACUCUGGGUAUCCAGUAGGCUGGAAGGAGCCUUGCUAAGCCCACUCUUAUCAAAGUUCUAUUUACCAAACAUUUGCUUUUCCCUUUCCAUGUGAAGGG